UACGGAGGGGGCUAGCGUUGUUCGGAAUUACUGGGCGUAAAGCGCACGUAGGCGGCUUUGUAAGUUAGAGGUGAAAGCCCAGGGCUUAACCCUGGAAUUGCCUUUAAGACUGCAUCGCUAGAAUCGUGGAGAGGUGAGUGGAAUUCCGAGUGUAGAGGUGAAAUUCGUAGAUAUUCGGAAGAAACACCAGUGGCGAAGGCGACUCACUGGACACGUAUUGACGCUGAGGUGCGAAAGCGUGGGGAG
rnacentral:rRNA from 1 species